rnacentral:rRNA from 1 species
GGGGGGGGGGGGGGGGUGGGGGGGGGGGGGGGGGUGGGGGGGGCGGGGGGGGGGCUGGGUCCUCUGGCGGGAGCGGGGGGCGGGUGGGUGGCACGGGGCGGACCUGCGUAUGAGACUGUGGUGGCUUGUGGGAACCUGGGCGCAUACCGGAGCAUAGAUUGCAGCGCAUGGGUGACUAGGGCAGGACGGUUUUGCUGUCACUUAUAGAUGUAUCCUCGCCGACUUAGCUAGUUGGUAAUGUGACGGCUUACCAAGGCAACGAUGCGUAGCCGAACUGAGAGGGUGAUCGGCCACACUAGAACUGAGACACGGUCCAGACUCCUAAGGGAGGCAGCAGUAGGGAAUCUUCCGCAAUGGGCGAAAGCCUGACGGAGCAACGCCGCGUGAGUGAUGAAGGUCUUCGGAUCGUAAAACUCUGUUAUUAGGGAAGAACAAAUGUGUAAGUAACUAUGCACGUCUUGACGGUUCCUAAUCAGAAAGCCACGGCUAACUACGUG